rnacentral:rRNA from 1 species
GAAUCCGCUAAGGAGUGUGUAACAACUCACCUGCCGAAUGAAUUAGCCCUGAAAAUGGAUGGCGCUUAAGCGGGCAGCCGACACCGCGCCGUUCCGGCGAGACGAUGCCGGGAUGAGUAGGAGGGCGUGGCGGUCAGUGACGCAGGCGAGGGUGCAGACCCCGCUGAAACGGCCGCUAGUGCAGAUCUUGGUGGUAGUAGCAAAUAUUCAAGCGAGAUCCUUGAAGGGCGAAGCGGGGAAGGGUUCCACGCAAACAUUGAUUGGGCGUGGGUGAGUCGUUCCUAAGCCGAGUGGCAAUUGCUAAGUAGCGGCGAAAGGGAAGCGGGUUAAAAUUCCCGCACACGGAUAUGGAGGCGGCGACGCAAGCAGAGGUAAAUACGCUGGCGAGGGCGCUGGGCAGAGUUGUCUUUUCUGUUUGACCGGCAUCGCGCUGUGUGGAAUCCGCUUAUCGGGAGAAACACGCGCGGGGAGGGGCAGAGCGUCAGGUCUUUUCUGGCGUCCGGCUCGCCCUCGACGGCCCUUGAAAAUUUACCCGCGAACUUUUAAAAUUUCAUGCUGUGACGUACCGAUAACCGCAUCAGGUCCCCAAGGUGAACAGCCUCUGCUCAAUAUGAACAAUGCAGGUAAGGGAAGUCGGCA